rnacentral:rRNA from 1 species
UCCUGGCUCAGGAUGAACGCUGGCGGCGUGCCUAAUACAUGCAAGUCGAGCGAACAGUCGAGGAGCUUGCUCCUCUGACGUUAGCGGCGGACGGGUGAGUAACACGUGGAUAACCUACCUAUAAGACUGGGAUAACUUCGGGAAACCGGAGCUAAUACCGGAUAAUAUAUUGAACCGCAUGGUUCAAUAGUGAAAGACGGUUUUGCUGUCACUUAUAGAUGGAUCCGCGCCGCAUUAGCUAGUUGGUAAGGUAACGGCUUACCAAGGCAACGAUGCGUAGCCGACCUGAGAGGGUGAUCGGCCACACUGGAACUGAGACACGGUCCAGACUCCUACGGGAGGCAGCAGUAGGGAAUCUUCCGCAAUGGGCGAAAGCCUGACGGAGCAACGCCGCGUGAGUGAUGAAGGUCUUCGGAUCGUAAAACUCUGUUAUUAGGGAAGAACAAAUGUGUAAGUAACUAUGCACGUCUUGACGGUACCUAAUCAGAAAGCCACGGCUAACUACGUGCCAGCAGCCGCGGUAAUACGUAGGUGGCAAGCGUUAUCCGGAAUUAUUGGGCGUAAAGCGCGCGUAGGCGGUUUUUUAAGUCUGAUGUGAAAGCCCACGGCUCAACCGUGGAGGGUCAUUGGAAACUGGAAAACUUGAGUGCAGAAGAGGAAAGUGGAAUUCCCAUGUGUAGCGGUGAAAUGCGCAGAGAUAUGGAGGAACCACCCAGUGGCGAAGGCGACUUUCUGGUCUG